rnacentral:rRNA from 1 species
AUGAGACUCUUGCUUCCCUUUGAAAGAGGCAGACCCCUACUUCAAUUGACAUCUGAUGACUCUUCCCCAGCUAUGGACUCAAACCUCUCACAACCAAAAAAAAGAAAAUCAAAAUCAAACGAAUCCGAAUAUAACCAAUCUAUCGCCUUUGAUGACUCGUUGACAGCCUCCUCAACCCAAGCUUCCAUCUCCUGCUCCAGACAUCGGCGCUUGCCCGCGCCAGUCCAUGAAAGGUGGAUGAAGGUGAGUUUGACUACGAACUCGAGGAUGCUGGGAACGAUCUAUUUUCGGGGAAUCACUCCCAUCGAGAGGCCCUCUUCCUCCCUUUUUCUGAAUCUGGGAGAGAGGCAAAAGAGAAGUCCAGAGAGACCUCGACUCUUUCAGGGAAAGGAGGAAGAUCGAAUGCGAGAUGGAGUCCCUGCCAAAUGGAAUGGACAUCCUUGGGGACAGCUGUGCAAGACUUAAUUUACCAUAAAAUUGGAGGGAAAAACUACUAAAAAGAUCACAAGAAACCCAGCUCAAAGUGAAUGGAGAGAGAACCCCUGCGCCUUGGAAGGAUCUGAAGCUGUUCGGACACUCAUAGACAAGUGA